rnacentral:rRNA from 1 species
CGGACGGGUGAGUAAUGUCUGGGAAACUGCCUGAUGGAGGGGGAUAACUACUGGAAACGGUAGCUAAUACCGCAUAACGUCGCAAGACCAAAGAGGGGGACCUUCGGGCCUCUUGCCAUCAGAUGUGCCCAGAUUGGAUUAGCUAGUAGGUGGGGUAACGGCUCACCUAGGCGACGAUCCCUAGCUGGUCUGAGAGGAUGACCAGCCACACUGGAACUGAGACACGGUCCAG